UAAGGUGCAUCUAGUGCAGUUAGU
rnacentral:ncRNA from 4 species